UAACAGGAAGCAGCUUGCUGCUUCGCUGACGAGUGGCGGACGGGUGAGUAAUGUCUGGGAAGCUGCCUGAUGGAGGGGGAUAACUACUGGAAACGGUAGCUAAUACCGCAUAAUGUCGCAAGACCAAAGAGGGGGACCUUCGGGCCUCUUGCCAUCGGAUGUGCCCAGAUGGGAUUAGCUUGUUGGUGGGGUAACGGCUCACCAAGGCGACGAUCCCUAGCUGGUCUGAGAGGAUGACCAGCCACACUGGAACUGAGACACGGUCCAGACUCCUACGGGAGGCAGCAGUGGGGAAUAUUGCACAAUGGGCGCAAGCCUGAUGCAGCCAUGCCGCGUGUAUGAAGAAGGCCUUCGGGUUGUAAAGUACUUUCAGCGGGGAGGAAGGGAGUAAAGUUAAUACCUUUGCUCAUUGACGUUACCCGCAGAAGAAGCACCGGCUAACUCCGUGCCAGCAGCCGCGGUAAUACGGAGGGUGCAAGCGUUAAUCGGAAUUACUGGGCGUAAAGCGCACGCAGGCGGUUUGUUAAGUCAGA
rnacentral:rRNA from 1 species